GCCAGGCAUGGUGGCGUGUGCCUGUAAUCCCAGCUACGUGGGAGGCUGAGGCAGGAGAAUUGCUUGAACCCAGGACAUGGAGGUUGCAGUGAGCCUAGAUAGCGCCACUGCACUCCAGCCUGGAUGACAGAGUGAGACUCUGUCUCAG
rnacentral:SRP_RNA from 1 species